rnacentral:tRNA from 1 species
UCUAAGGAAGCUGUGGAACUGGUAAGACGACCUUCCGACAAGUCUUUGACUUGUCUCGAGGUAUGAACCUUCCCGUGCUUUUUAGAACAUAGAUGGCACCAGUCAGGUGACCAUCGAAACGCAAUACGCCGCGUAGACUUCGGUCACGACGGUAUGGCGAGCUGCGCCGUCCACGUUUCUCUUUCUUCAAGAAGACAAAAAACCGCGUCGACCGGUUCCCCGAAUGGGCCCGUAGCUCAGUUGGUUAGAGCACACGCUUGAUAAGCGUGGGGUCGGAAGUUCAAGUCUUCCCGGGCCCACCAUUUGCAUUUGCGAAUGAGGGUUUGGGAUGAUGGAAUGUGGACGAUGCGGAAUGUUGCCGAACCUGGUUUAUGCCGGGCGAUCGAGCUGAUGGGGCUGUAGCUCAGCUGGGAGAGCACCUGCUUUGCAAGCAGGGGGUCAGCGGUUCGAUCCCGCUCAGCUCCACCAAAUCGAUUGGUGUCGAGACUGACUGGUUGAGAUCGGCAUGUUUGUCUUUUGAAGAAAAUACAAGUUUGCAUCGGCUUUGAGCCUGAUGCCUGUUCUGCAUAUAUCGUGAAGAGAAGAUUGAUCUGGAGGCUUCCAGGUGUUGUGAGUUUUGCUCAUGACGUCCGAGCCCAGUUCCUGUGAACCCAUGGAUGGCCUAGCCGGCCGGAUAUGGUGGGGGGACUGGAGGUAGGAAGGAAGCUUGUCGCUCUGGGUCGUUGUUGUUUGCAGUCUUUCGAGACUGCAUCUGACGGACGACUUGAUUGCCGUUGCCUGACCGCGCGGUAUCGGAUCCAAUCUCGAGAAGCUGGUCUUAAGACAGGCUGCAAGUGGGCUGCUCGGCGUAGCUCCAAUAAAGCAGACCUGUCGAACACGUCGAUGGCAUUGUUGGAUUGACUGGGUUGUAAAAGGUAACCCGGUCUGUUGCCGUUUCCUUCGGGGGACGUGCAGCGAGAUGAUGAGCAUUGGCAAUGAGGACGA